CUAUCUAUAGUCUAUUUAUCUAUCUAUAGUCUGUCUAUCUAUAGUCCGUCUAUCUAUAGUCUAUCUAUCUAUAGUCUAUCUAUAGUCUAUCUAUCUAUCUAUCUAUCUAUCUAUCUAUCUAUCUAUCUAUCUAUCUAUCUAUCUAUCUAUCUAUCUAUCUAUCUAUCAUUUAUUGUGUUAGAUUUUUUUAAAGCAGAAUGUGUAAAAGCGUGUUAUGAAUGAUUCACCUGUGCGACAACAUAUUUGUCACUGUUGUCCAUGUUGUGGUUGAUUUGUGGUGAAGCCUCGUCGGUGUUGGCUGUCCCAGCAUCUGAGCGACUCUGUGGAAGUCAAGGUCUCUUUUUAAAGUACUGGACCACAAACACCGCCUGGACAGACACACAGAAGAGACAGUCGCUUCAAUCAGUCCAAAUGAGUCUUUCCACAAAAAUCACCUGUUUGCAUGACGAGAAAGGAGAUUUAUGGUUUAAUCAUGAGGUAAAUACACAGAUAUGCACUGCUAAGCAACUAAUGAGUGAGCCAAAGACCAGCCAGGAUUGGGUUCUUCCACUGCUGAGGUCUUUAACUGGAACUGCAGGGAGAUUCAUCAGUUUUCCUUCCACUGUUACUGUCACCCAGCUUCCUGUUCCAGUGCAUGACUCCCUGUACAAAAGAGGAAUUCAAGUUCAUCCAACCGAUAACAGCUUUCGUGUGUGUGUGUGUGUGUGUGUGUGUGUGUGUGUGUGUGUGUGUGUGUGUGUGUGUGUGUGUGUGUGUGUGUGUGUGUGUGUGUGUGUGUGUGUGUGUCCUGCAGCAAUUCAGUCCAUUAGACAGUUUUCUAUUAAGGAAAGAGCCUAAAUUUAUUUGGCCAACUUACAUAGUGAUGUAGAGCCAGAGUUCUGGACCAACUCCCUAAAAAGAGGCUCUUUAUUACUAAAACACGGCUUUAAAAAUGUGAUGAAUGUGAAAGAAAGUAAAUGAUUCUUGAUAAAUACUGUGAUUUGAGUAUAUAGAAAUUAUGAUAUGCACAGAAUUGCUAAUGUAGAAUUUAAAAAAAGGGCUUGGUCUGUGAUGUGAUUUAUUCUGAUUAACUUUUGGAAGUAUAAUUGUGAAAGUGGUUUUGGUAAACAUUCGAGAUGGUUGGGUUAGCUAAAGGUAAAAAUCUGAUUAUAUACACAGCAUAUAAUGGAACCCAUUAAAAGGCGGGAUCUCAUUAACGGUUGAGUCACGAUUCAGACUCCAUUCAUUCUCCAACAGGAACAUGUUGGUCUGCUACUCUGACGGUCACAUCGACCUUCAUAUCGAACACAGAAAAGCGCACAGAGCUCCCAGAUGUUUCUGAAAGGCUGGCUGUUUUAUCCAGGAUGUAGCAGUAAUUUCCUAAGGGGUUGCAGCACCAUAUCAGCUGAUCUUCCUGAGGUGAACCAAGCACAGGUUGCAGAGGCAGCACAGGAUUUUUGGGCAAUUUAGAACUUCCUAAUGAGUUUGGAUAAAGUCACUGUUCCCUCUAAGCUGCGCGCGUGCGCAAUUGCGCACUGCUGACACGGUCUCCGCGCACAGAAAAUCUGCACUGCGCACAAAAAAAAAAUCCAACCUAAAUUGUAAAUAAAAUAAACACGUAAUAAUUCAUUAUGUGCUACUUUUCAAUGUGAGUCAGUGAGUGACCGGUGACUGGCUGCUGCAGCCAAUGAUGCGAUUCACAUACGUAUUUACCAUAGACUGUAUAUAAUGGUAUUUACGCAGCUAAUCAACGUCAGGCGUCCUUAUGUGCAGCCACCUUUGUUCUCAUAGAUAUGAAUGAGUAGAUAGGACACGCCCCUUUGAGCUGCGUGCUACAGCGAGGCUAAGCUAGUGGGGACAAAGUUUCAGUGCAUUCCGUUGAUGUAGACGGCGUGGAAACGGAAACAAGAAGUAUGCCGGCUCACUGUGCUGCAUACAGUUACACACUACGUCGUACGAUUGAGACAAGGAAACUUGGAAUGACUUUUCAUAGGUUUCCCAGAGACUAUGGGUUGAGGAAGAAUUGGAAGUUUGUCGGCUUAGACCUGGUGUCAUUCCAUCAGUGUUAAACUUCCCGGCUCAUCUUGGAAGAGUACGUGCCAGAAAGACCACGACCAAGCAGCCUUGAGAUCUUAGGCAGCGUCUCCCUCAGGUCCCUCUCUAUCUCCCCACACAUCCACCAACCACUGGAACACAUCUCCAAAGUUCUGCUGGACCAGCUCAGCUUCCCCUCAGAAGAAGUGCUGCCACCUGCCAGAUGAAGGAGCCUUUUGAGAGGCAGCUGACAUCAUGAUUGGACUGUACUUUGGUCUGUUCCAAUCCAGCUUCAGCUCCAGAGACGGCAGGCGGGACGAGUCAACGGAGGCCGAGUGGACGAAGGCAUGAAGCUGAGUACAAUCCAGAAAACAACAGAGGAGGAGUGUAGCAGCCCAGAGCCAGAACAACCAGAGUAGCAUCGUAUGUCUCUUAGAAAACAUCAUAGUAUAGCCUUUGGUAUGAAAAAACACCAUCAUAUACAUCGUAUAUUGUACAAAUAACAAGUCUAAGGAAAGAGACAUACAUUGUAGAAUUGUAGUAAUUGUGGGCUGACUGAUUUACUGAUUAGCAGUAUUUUGUGGUCGCUCUGUCUUCUGGAGUGAUUUGAUUGGUUAUAUGUCACGAAUAAAACUCAUUUAACUUAACAUCUGUAAACAAAACAAAAACGUAUCAACAAAGUUUUCUGUUAGUUUGUGUUCUUCUAAGUUUAACUCCAAGAUUUUAAAUACUUUCAUUUACUGCAAAUGAAUAUCUACUCCAAAUGUCUCACUAACAAUCAUUAUCAGCCUUAAAAACCCACAAAACACCCCUCUAUACUGGACCACACUUAGUACAGUCCGGUUCCCCCUUCUAUAAAUCUGCUUGGAAUCGUCCACUUCCUGUUUGUCAAAGUGGACUUCGACCUGGACAGGUUUUGUUGGAGCUCAUGCAGCAAACAUUUUAGGUAACUGCACUUUAAUAUGGAUGGAUGACACUGAAUUAGAGUCUGCUUUAAUGAGACUAAGUUAAGAUGUGUAGCUCUGUCAUUAAAUAGGAAAUUAUUUCUCAGAAUUGACAGAGAAAAGUCUGAAAUGUUUGCUAGGUUAGCGUCCCACAUGUUCUUUGGCUCAGCUAAAGCUAACUCUCUCCAACUUGUGGAUCUCUUGAGUUGCUUGUUGUUAAAAUAUCUUGCUAGAGGUGCUGAAGCUCAGAAAGUCUGAGAUGUUUGUUCAAAAUAAGCUCAUUCUCAAGUCUUAUCUGAACUGUCCUCUUUAGUUUGAACUUUCCCUGAACUUAGGAGUUAAUGACAGAGCAGCACAUCCAGACUCAGUCUCAUUUAUGUAGAGAUUAAACUUCAGUGUCAUUCAUUGAUGUUAAAGUGCAGUUUUUCAAAUGUUUGUUGUACAUGCUCCCGACCAAACCAGUCCAGGUGGAAGACGAUGUGAAGAGAAAGCUCCAGAGGAUGAAUAUCACACAUUUACGUUGGAAAUAAAUGUCCUUUAAUUAGACAUUGUCAUGCAAAAGUUGGAUUUCCCUUUAAUGAUGUUCAAAUCUUUGAGUGUUUUGUUGAUGUUGUUUUCUAAAUGUUUUCUGACACUCGGCCCCAAAGAUUAAAACCUUUUACGGCUCACAAGCUGCAACAAUUCACACAUUAUCAACUAUCUUUCUGACUAAACUAAGAUAAAAAGUGAAAAACUGCCUGAUUCCUGCAUCAUGAAUGUAAAUCUUUUUGGUUUUUAUGACAGUAAACUGAAUAUAUUUGGGUUUGACAUUUUAUAAACCAAAACAAGAAAUGAAUUAGUGGAGAAAACAACAGAUUAAUGGACAAAGAAAAUGUGUUUUCCAACAUAUAUGGCUGAAUUACUGCAACAUUACAAGAUACAUACAAUUUGAAUUCAAUUUUAUUUAUGUAACGCCAAUUACAGGUCAAAUUGUCUCAAGACACUUUAUUUUUAUAUUUUUUGUCACAUUUAAAAUAUGACAAAUUAAGAAAUUGAAACCUCUUGACUGAUCCAAUUUAUUAUUUGGUUUUUAAGAGACUAAUUGACAACUAAAAUAACUUUCUCCACUAAAAGUAAUAAACAUGAGGUCAAAUAGAAAGAAGAGUUUUAAAUACUGCAGUCCCACGAUGACAAGAAUAAAGUUUGUCAAGAAAAACUAAAUCUGCUGGUGGAUUCCAUUAAAGUCCUAUUAAAUGAUAAUAAAGUGUGAUACUAAAGGUUUGUGGUGCUAAAAAUGUCCAAGUAAAGAUAAGAAGUUGAACAUCUGGAUGGAGGUUGAUAAAAGUUGACCUUCCUUCAUUUCUCUGUAGCGACUCCAUGGAUUUUAUGGAUGCUGGUUAAAGACCUGCUCUUCUAGUCGUCUUCCUUCUAGUCGCUGUAAAAAGUCAGUCCAUCCUGGCCGACUUCAACACCUUUUCAUGACAACUUGUUCUGUCUCCGACCUGGUGGAAACUCCAGAAACUCGGGAAAACCUGUGGAGACUCGAAGAAUUCGUCGGGCGGGGGAAG
ensembl:lncRNA